rnacentral:lncRNA from 1 species
AAUCCCUCCUGAGCCGAAGAGCAGGCGCGUGCUGGAGCUGUGACCUCGCUGCGUUGCUGGUGGUUGUCUGAAAUCUUCUUUGGUUUGCUUCGUGUCCGUCGCCCACCCGUGCUGUAUGAUGGAAGCAGCAUUUUGAAGGCUGUUUUGCUGAGGCGUGCUGCGGGUAGCGAGCCACGACGAGUUCCUGCUGCAGGUGGGGCACGGAGAAGGGGGUGAGCAUCACGCCGUGUCCCUUCCCCAGCACACCAGGGCAAGAAAAGCAGAAUUAGAGGCAAGAACACCCGAUUCCAGCGCGCUCUGCUCUCUCCCAGGCCACUGGCACUGUUAGAAGAGUAAUUGCUGGCUCCUGGCCUUCCUCUCUAUGCGACCUGAAGAUUAGCAAAAUUCCCAGUCCUUUCCUCGUUGCUCUGGUGCUCAAAAUAAUUGGAGACUAAAAUACAACGGCGUGUGCGCAGAGAAAACCAAGCGUCUUGUCAGACUUGUGAGCAAUGUGGGUGAAGUCGCAUUCCUCCCUGCUUCGUGUCCUGGAGGAGCUGGCUUGGAGCACUUCGCUGAGGCAGCUCCUCACGUCUGCUGCCCUUGUUUUGAUGGUUUGAGAGAAAUUUUGGGAAAAAAACACCUCCAUUUGAGCAGAAAAAGAUGCGUUUGCUGCAGAAAUACCCCUUGGAAGUGGCACGACUGUCUGUGAGUGCCGUGGGCUCCUCAUACAUUAACACCAAAUUUAAUUCUGAGAAGUGGAUGAGAAAUGAAUACUUCAACAGGCUUUUAACGUGGCAACGCUCCACACCAAGCUCUUGGUCCUGACUGUCACAGAAUUUGGGGACUGGCAUCGUGUCCGUCUGGGGAUGGGAACGGUGCUGGCCUCGGAGCAGGAGCGACAGGCAGUGAUAAAUGGUGUCUGGGUGAGGACCACGCAGCAAACAGCAGAAGGAGCUGCGGAGAGAAGUGUCCCGGACUCAUUAAAAGUGGGGAAAUCUGGAAAAAAAACCCUCGGUUGCCAGCUCGUUGCACUUUCUCACAGCCCUCAGCGUUUUUUCUCUUGGUGUUAGACCUAAACAACAGGAGGCUGAACAGAAAGGACGCGGGUUCCACGCCGGAGCUUUCCAUCCCUCACAAAUCUCCCCUUGCCCUUGUUCCAGCGGCUGCAGGGAGCAUCGGUGGAAACUUUCACAAUGGAAAAAAUCCCCGGGUUUGGCAGGAGCAGCUGAUGUGGUUUGCUGGAGGGUUGAUUUCGUGAAUUUUUCGGAGCCAGAACCGGGCUGGAUCCUGCCAGAUGCCUCGGACCAAACUCAGGGCUGAAGGGCUGGAAUUUAUCUCCAGGUGGCUGCUGCGUGGAGCUUGCUUCCCAGCCUCGUUUUUGGGGCC